ACGACUUCUUUUCAGACAGAAAAAAAACAACUUCCCCAAUGAGAGGUGAGGCACCUACAAUUAUUUAUGGAGCUACAUAUUUAGGUAUCUUAAUGAGAGCAUUCCUGUGAGGAUAUUCUAACAAAUGUUCUGCAAGCUCUGGAAGGCAAGUCCCUAAGAGAAAUUUUCAAAGGGUUUGCUCAAGAUAAGCAUUCAUCUUUUCAAAGGUAGAGCUUUGAAG
rnacentral:lncRNA from 1 species